rnacentral:rRNA from 1 species
GACGGAGGAUGCAAGUGUUAUCCGGAAUCACUGGGCGUAAAGGGUGCGUAGGCGGGUCUUUAAGUCAGGGGUGAAAUCCUGGAGCUCAACUCCAGAACUGCCUUUGAUACUGAGGAUCUUGAGUAUGGGAGAGGUGAGUGGAACUGCGAGUGUAGAGGUGAAAUUCGUAGAUAUUCGCAAGAACACCGGUGGCGAAGGCGGCAUCCUGGACCAUUACUGACGCUGAGGCGCGAAAGCGUGGGGAGCAACAGG